UACGGGAGGAAGCAGUGGGGAAUAUUGCACAAUGGGCGCAAGCCUGAUGCAGCCAUGCCGCGUGUAUGAAGAAGGCCUUCGGGUUGUAAAGUACUUUCAGUCGUGAGGAAGGUGUUAAGGUUAAUAACCUUAGCAAUUGACGUUAGCGACAGAAGAAGCACCGGCUAACUCCGUGCCAGCAGCCGCGGUAAUACGGAGGGUGCGAGCGUUAAUCGGAAUUACUGGGCGUAAAGGGCACGCAGGCGGUUAAUUAAGUUGGAUGUGAAAUCCCCGGGCUUAACCUGGGAAUGGCAUUCAAGACUGGUUAGCUAGAGUCUUGUAGAGGGGGUAGAAUUCCAUGUGUAGCGGUGAAAUGCGUAGAGAUGUGGAGGAAUACCGGUGGCGAAGGCGGCCCCUGGACAAAGACUGACGCUCAUGUGCGAAAGCGUGGGGAGCAAAC
rnacentral:rRNA from 1 species